AUGUACAUUCACAAGAGAAAUGCUAUAGCAUCACAAACUAAACCCAUGUAUAGUGCAGGUUCACAAGAGAAAUGCUACUGUCUAUCUAUUGGCAUUUUGCAGCAAGUUGCAGAUGCGUUGUGGCGUUGGCACAGUUCUUCAGUUUCCACGACUCCAUUUCCGGGACUUACUUGCAGUCGCCAUGGCCCGCAGGAUGUCCAGCGGUCUCCAGUCGGUGUCGGACGUGAAGGUCGGUCGCUGCUUCCGCUCCAGGUUGCAGCACUUCAGCGCCAGCCGAAGGAGCCGCUCUGCCUGCACCUCUGGCCAGCUGCCGGCAGAUGCGUCCAGCAGGCCGUGCACCGCGUCCCUCCUGAGCGCCUCCUGUACCUGCUCGACAAUAUUGAGGUCGAGCAGCCCCGUGAGCACCUGCAGGAUCACCACGCCGAACGCGUAGACGUCCGACUCUGUAGUGAGCUCGCCAGUCAUGAAGAAGAUGGGGUCCAUGUACCCCAUUGUGCCCAUCGGGUUGGUCCACCGGCAGAUUGUGUCCUCCUUCAGGGGCUUCAUCUGCACAAUGCGCGCCGUUCCAAAGUCCCCUAG
rnacentral:rRNA from 1 species